rnacentral:lncRNA from 1 species
ACAGACUCAUCAGCAAUUGAGCAAUUUGUCUGCUAAUGCAGUAAUGUACAGAGGUAGAGUAUAAUAGGUAAUACCACCUUGAGUUCGACAUGACAGUACGUCUUGAUUGUCAACUUGAUGAGAUGAAGAACAAUCUAGGAGGUCACAUUUCAGGCAACCAGGCUGAAAGAAGCUAUAUCAUCUUUUAUAUGGUUCUCGGAUUGAAAACAUCAAGUACCACAGAAACCAGAAAGAUAGCUCUGAGGACUGAGCAGACAACCCUUUCCCGGUUUCUUCUUCCAUCUCAUUAGCACUGGUGAACUCCGAUGAACAUCGGAAAUAUUGUAUUAUGGAGACACACCUCAGUUGGUAAAGUGUUUGUCAUGUAUAUGUGAGGAUAUUGGUUUGGAUCCCACCACCCUCAUAAAAAGCUGAGUGUCACAGGGCUCAGAGCUGGAAAGACCGUGACGUGACUGGAAGAUCUUUUGCUCAGGCUUACUGGCCAUCGAAUCUAGACAAUUGUUGAGCCCCAGGUUUAGUGGGAGACCAUGUGCCACAACAUAUGGUGGAGAGCAACAGAGAAAGACAGACAUCCCCACCACCACCCUUUGGCCUCCAUAUGCACGUAUCUACACGUGUUCUUGCACUCACUCACACAUGUGCACUCAUAUAAAUGUACAAAGUGUACUCAUUCAUCCAGAUCAGUCGUCUUUGUCCAUUACCUUGCAUAUUUCUUUCAAGUACAGUUAACAUUGGACCAAAGAAAAAAUUCCGUAUG